rnacentral:rRNA from 1 species
UACGGGGGGGGCAAGCGUUGUUCGGAAUUACUGGGCGUAAAGGGCUCGUAGGCGGCCAACUAAGUCGGAUGUGAAAUCCCCAGGCUUAACCUGGGAACUGCAUCCGAUACUGGAUGGCUUGAAUCCGGGAGAGGGAUGCAGAAUUCCAGGUGUAGCGGUGAAAUGCGUAGAUAUCAGGAGGAACACCGGUGGCGAAGGCGGUUCUCUGGGCAUUACCUGACGCUGGAGGAGCGAAAGUGUGGGGAGCGAACAGG